rnacentral:misc_RNA from 1 species
ACCCUAAUCUCAAUGUCGCGCGACGUGAAAAAACGCGUAACAUACUCUUGUUACGUAAAGAAUCGUGUGGAACAAGGAGGCAAGGAUCUUUUCGCCACGCGUAUUUGCAAUAUUUGUCUUCGGCUCACCUACGACUCAUUUUGCAAACUUAAGCGCGGCCCGAAAAGACCGACUCAUAUUCCGGGAUGAUUUUGCAGUAGGUAAAAACGGUCAUUUAGAUCUGAUUUCAGAGAAAUGGACAAAAAUUCCCUCAACUGAAAUAGUCUUAAUACCUAUAUUCGUUUGUCCACACGUACAAUUGAAUUUUAACUUAUAAAACACAACUAAUAAUAGACUACACUUGAGCACCGCCCGCAGCUUGAAAUGAGUUAAACGCGCACUUAUACGUGCGCGAGUUUCUUAUCGCGUACUGUAAUUGUGUGUAAAUGAAGCUCAUAUUAAUUUAUGACUUGACAGACGACAUGAUUAUGUCGUAUUUGCCGGUGAUCCGAGAAUCAAGCGCCGAUUGGUCCGUGAACAUUGAAAUAAAAAGAGACACAUUCUACUCUGAUGCCAGUCGCUGCACGAUCAUUGGGGCGUGAAUUUGUUCCACUUUCAUUCUCGUGUAAAAUGGAAUCUUAUACAUUGGAGGAUAUUUUAAAUAAACAUUUGCCGAUAAAUGAGUUACGAGAAGUGAAGAGAAUUUUAUAUGGAGGAGAAUUGGAGAAUUUAAACUUACCAAGAUUCAAAGGCACCGAUGAUGUCGAAAUAAAGGGAUGGAAAUUUAGAGCUUCACCCGAGCAGCUUCGUCAACCCCGAAUGGUUAGAGUUGGAUUAAUACAGCAUUCGAUCGUACUACCAACAACAAGUCCUAUAAAUCACCAAAGAGAUGCUAUAUUCAAAAAAAUUACAGCAUAUGUGGAACAAGCCGCUGAAUGUGGAGUCAAUUUACUUUGUCUUCAGGAAGCUUGGUCGAUGCCUUUCGCCUUUUGCACGAGGGAGAAACAGCCAUGGUGCGAAUUUGCAGAAGAUGUAUCGGACGGUCCAAGUGUGAUGGUUCUUCGCAAGCUUGCGCAGCAGUACAACAUGGUCAUUAUAUCACCAAUUCUGGAACGGGACAGUAACAAAGGUGACACCAUAUGGAAUACAUGUGUGGUGAUCGGUACAGAUGGAAAUAUCAUUGGAAAGCACAGGAAAAAUCACAUUCCACGAGUUGGGGAUUUUAACGAAUCAACUUAUUACAUGGAGGGCAAUACGGGGCAUCCUGUUUUUGAGACUCGGUUCGGUCGUAUCGCUGUCAAUAUUUGUUACGGCCGACAUCAUCCGCAGAACUGGAUGAUGUUUGGAGUAAAUGGCGCAGAGGUGGUGUUUAAUCCUUCAGCAACAGUCGGCUUACUGUCUGAGCCUUUGUGGCCGAUCGAGGCUCGUAAUGCAGCUAUCGCAAACAGUUACUAUACCUGUGCGAUAAAUAGAGUUGGUAAUGAAAUAUUUCCCAAUGCUUUUACCUCUGGGGAUGGCGCUGCUGCUCAUAAAAACUUUGGCCACUUUUAUGGAUCGAGUUAUGUGGCUGCACCAGAUGGAACCAGAACUCCCGGUCUUAGUCGUCAUCGUGACGGUCUUUUAGUUGCCGAAUUGGAUCUUAAUCUCUGCCGCCAGACAAGAGACGCUUGGGGAUUCAGGAUGACACAGAGACUGGACAUCUAUGCUCGAGAACUUGCAGAGGCAGUUAAGCCUGACUACAAGCCACAAGUAAUUCGGGAAUAAGGCCUUUCGCUUUUUCAAUUUCUUUGAAGCUCUCCACGUCUUCGUCGUUUAGGAGUUUGGUACGUUUUGUGUCGAAGAACAAAACAAGAAAAACAGGAUCCUUGUAAUUGGUAGCGAGAGCGAGAACAUCGUCAGGCGGUGCUGGAAUCGGAACUCCUUUAUGCACGGUUCCUCUGGGUGUUCCAGGAUCGAUAAUCAGUGCGGGAUACCAAGGAUAUCCUCGGCACUUUGCCCACACAAGUUGCAGUGCCUCCAAACGAUCUUCAUCUUCCCCUUCCCCGUCGGCAUCCUCUUCCCCUUCUUCUUCGGUACUUUUCUCCUUCUCUAACUCGGAUUCUUUUUCGGUAUCCAUAUCUGCAUCCUUUUUUUCCACCUCUGGGCUUGUUGUACGACUUGUCGAACAACUGCUACAGCUUGAAGAUUGACUUUCGCCUUCUCCUCCAUCGCUUUCAGUUACUCCGCUCCUGGAAUGUGUGUGUGACUAGAUUUGAGACUCGUCAUUGAGUUAAAAACAUUUCUUUCCUAAUAGAAUCCAUCGUUAUAAAGUACUAUCUAUUAAUUAAAAUAUUUUUACUAAAUUGGUACAGGCCUCAGAACAGCAAAUUGGACUUCCCUUUUUUAAGUAUCAGCAUAUGUGUAAUGAAAUUAUGAAACAUUUUUAGGACAGUUUGCAGCAGCUCUAGCAGCCGUUAAGAUUUGUGAAAUGUUACACUAUCUUUAGUUACAAAAUGGUCAAAAUUCAUCUUGGAAGAAAGAAAUAUUGAUCAUCGCUGUAUGACUGUCUUUCCACUUUCAUGUAAUUGUAGUAUAAAAAUCGCGAUCGUUACUGGUUUGUAGGUUUUUCAAGUUUUACAUCAUCUUCCAUAACCAAAACUCAAGGAAUAGAUGAAUUUGUAAGAAAAAAUCAAGUAUGAGAUAAAUAUGUGACACAAAAUUUCUCGAUUGCAUAGUCUAAUUCCAUGUUCCUGAGAUACUUGACAAUUUAUUCGAUUUUUUAGUGCAAGCGUUUCCGUUACAAAUCUAAUAAUGACUUCAUUAAUGUAAGGAUAAACUGGCCAUACUGUCAGAACUCAAUUUAUUCGAUUUCUUAGUGCAAGUGUUUUAGUUACAAAUUCAAUCAUGACUUUAUUAAUCUAAUGAUAAAUCGGCUAUAUUGUUGGAACUAAAAAUUAGAAAACGAGGAAAAACCGUAUAAAGAAUCUCCAGCAACGUUAUUUUUGUUAAUGUUGAUGAACACGAAUGAAACAAAUAGCAUUGAUUCUGAGCAAAUCCGAAUAGCACAAGCUGAUUGUGAGAUGUGGAUGGUUUGAGAAAACGUUUAAAAUGGUUGAACUUUGGUGUUUUUAAUUGGACCUGAUAGUUUUAGGUACAUUUUAUUCGCUAAUCAGAUCUUCUGUCAGAUAAAUGGUCUGAAAACAUUUAAUAAAUCUUACAUUGUAGUAUAGUUAUAAAGUAUAAAUGUCAUUGUUGAUUAGCAUAUAUCCUUCCUUAAUUACGGAAAUCUUCCACUUAGUAUUUGUGAAAUUUUUUUCGGGUCAUCUUUAGAAAUCUAUGGUGAAUAAAAUAAGUUUCGAACCAUUAAAAUCGGAUUAAAAAUAUGAAAGAAACUGAUUAAACUCUACUCUGUUUAAUCCAUUCGACAAUUCCAACUCAAAACCUUUUUGCAAAUUGUUCAUAUUUUAGCUUAAGUUAUUCGAAUUUACUCAGCAUUAUUUCUGUUACAUAGCAGGGAUGUCGUCUUUAUUCGAGCUCACUACCAUCGGCACAAAUAACAGUGAGGACAUUUUAAAUGUCAAUUCACCCUUAUUCCAAAUGAUUCAAACCCAUUUAUAUCUAGUUUCUCAUUGUAAAACUGUAUUUUCAGUUACGUUUGAUGGUAUAGUGAAUUUAUUUGCGUCUUAGAGUUGCUGCUAUGUUUACGAAAUUAUAGGAUAAUUUUAGAAUAGAAUAUGCAAAUACAAAAAAUCUAUGAAUUUCAGGACAUUAUUCCUGAAGUACGUAGAUUUCAGCCUCUCAUACCUGUACACUCUGAAACUAUCUCCUUGUUUUUUUUGAUCUCCUUCUGGAACGGGAGGCACGCCACUUCUACUUGCACGAGCUUUGGCCUUGCGUGUGAACAACACCGCAGUUCGUCGAUUAACCCCACCCCCCCCUGUUUCUUUUUCGUUUGUUUGUGACUCUGAUUCCCCUCUAUUGCGACCAGUUCUUUCUCGUUUUCGCGGUUUGGCGACAGUUGAUUCCUCUUCGAUGACAGGAUUGAAUUCAGGAUGGUCUUUACGAGCUUGCUCAAUAAGCGCUCCGCCUUGCUCGCGCAUUCUAACUCCGGCUCGAUAAAACAUUGUAUCCUUCCGAUUGUAAGCGAGACAAUUGCUCACCAUGAGGUUGAAGUCAGCUUCAAAUGCGCCGAUGGAAUCGUACUCU